AACGAACGCUGGCGGCAUGCCUAACACAUGCAAGUCGAACGAGACCUUCGGGUCUAGUGGCGCACGGGUGCGUAACGCGUGGGAACCUGCCCUUAGGUUCGGAAUAACUCCCCGAAAGGGGUGCUAAUACCGGAUAAUGUCUUCGGACCAAAGUUUUAUCGCCUUUGGAUGGGCCCGCGUUGGAUUAGCUAGUUGGUAGGGUAAAAGCCUACCAAGGCGACGAUCCAUAGCUGGUCUGAGAGGAUGAUCAGCCACACUGGGACUGAGACACGGCCCAGACUCCUACGGGAGGCAGCAGUGGGGAAUAUUGGACAAUGGGCGAAAGCCUGAUCCAGCAAUGCCGCGUGAGUGAUGAAGGCCUUAGGGUUGUAAAGCUCUUUUACCCGGGAUGAUAAUGACGGUACCGGGAGAAUAAGCUCCGGCUAACUCCGUG
rnacentral:rRNA from 1 species